CUCCUCUGAAAGCUACUGUUUUGUGCAUAAAAAUAUAGCUCCAAAUAAAGAAUGAUGGGCUGCAUGAAAGUAAAUAUGCACUGAAGGAACUAUUAUGCAUCCAAAAGGAUAUUGCUCUAAGUUUCUGAGGUCUAUCAGGAUGCUGCACUGUAAAGGAAAUCUCACCCAUGUAGAGAAAUGCUAGAAUGGGCAACAGAUUUCCUGUCUCCCGUGGUCUUUUCCAGGCCUUUGACCUUCAUUCCUCCUGGAUGUAGCAGCCCAGUGUGCAGCAUUUCACCUCAAUCUGCUCUUGUGCCCCCAGGAAAAAGAUUUGCUGGCCAAGGAUCCAACCCUGCUGUUUUGCAAUACUUUAGGAAGAGCAGUUUAUAACUGCUAAGUAUAACUGUACUCUAGCUAGUCCUGCUCUCUAAGGUAAUGAUACUGAAAUCAACUUGAGAACAAUAAUUUUAACACAAUUGGAAGUAUUAGAAAGCAGGCAUUUUUUAUUAAAGUGCUGGACACCUCUG